GGAGACGUGGCGGAGUGGUUGAACGCGCCCGGUUGGAAGCCGGGUAGGCCUCUCAGGGGGCCUCAUGAGUUCGAAUCUCAUCGUCUCCGCCA
rnacentral:tRNA from 1 species